ACUCCUACGGGAGGCAGCAGUGGGGAAUUUUGGACAAUGGGCGAAAGCCUGAUCCAGCAAUGCCGCGUGAGUGAAGAAGGCCUUCGGGUUGUAAAGCUCUUUUGUCAGGGAAGAAACGGUGAAAGCUAAUAUCUUUUGCUAAUGACGGUACCUGAAGAAUAAGCACCGGCUAACUACGUGCCAGCAGCCGCGGUAAUACGUAGGGUGCAAGCGUUAAUCGGAAUUACUGGGCGUAAAGCGUGCGCAGGCGGUUUUGUAAGUCUGAUGUGAAAUCCCCGGGCUCAACCUGGGAAUUGCAUUGGAGACUGCAAGGCUAGAAUCUGGCAGAGGGGGGUAGAAUUCCACGUGUAGUAGUGAAAUGCGUAGAUAUGUGGAGGAACACCGAUGGCGAAGGCAGCCCCCUGGGUCAAGAUUGACGCUCAUGCACGAAAGCGUGGGGAGCAAACAGGAUUAGAAACCCCUGUAGUCCCAUG
rnacentral:rRNA from 1 species